UCAUCAGUCCAAACCUCCUUGUCAAAACCUCCUCGUCAGAUCUCAGAAGCUGAGCAGGGCUGGCUCUGGUUAGUACUUGGAUGGUAGACUGCACAGAAUUGUGCAGAUUGGCAGU
rnacentral:rRNA from 1 species